GUCAUAUGCUUGUCUCAAAGAUUAAGCCAUGCAUGUCUCAGUACAAGCCAAAUUAAGGUGAAACCGCGAAAGGCUCAUUAAAUCAGUUAUGGUUCCUUAGAUCGUACCCACAAUUACUUGGAUAACUGUGGUAAUUCUAGAGCUAAUACAUGCAAACAGAGCUCCGACCGGAGACGGAAGGAGUGCUUUUAUUAGAUCAAAACCAAUCGGUGGCGGGUUCGCUCGUCAUCGUACAACUUGGUGACUCUGAAUAACUUUACGCUGAUCGCACGGUCAUCGCACCGGCGACGCAUCUUUCAAAUGUCUGCCUUAUCAACUGUCGAUGGUAGGUUCUGCGCCUACCAUGGUUGUAACGGGUAACGGGGAAUCAGGGUUCGAUUCCGGAGAGGGAGCCUGAGAAACGGCUACCACAUCCAAGGAAGGCAGCAGGCGCGCAAAUUACCCACUCCCGGCACGGGGAGGUAGUGACGAAAAAUAACGAUACGGGACUCAUCCGAGGCCCCGUAAUCGGAAUGAGUACACUCUAAACCCUUUAACGAGGAUCAAUUGGAGGGCAAGUCUGGUGCCAGCAGCCGCGGUAAUUCCAGCUCCAAUAGCGUAUAUUAAAGUU
rnacentral:rRNA from 1 species